rnacentral:rRNA from 1 species
AGCGGCAGCGCGGGGCAACCUGGCGGCGAGCGGCGAACGGGUGAGUAAUGCAUCGGAACAUGUCCAUGUCGUGGGGGAUAGCCCGGCGAAAGCCGGAUUAAUACCACAUACGCCCGAGAGGGGAAAGUGGGGGACCGCAAGGCCUCACGCGAUUGGGUUGGCCGAUGUCCGAUUAGCUAGUUGGUGGGGUAAAGGCUUACCAAGGCGAUGAUCGGUAGCUGGUCUGAGAGGAUGAUCAGCCACACUGGGACUGAGACACGGCCCAGACUCCUACGGGAGGCAGCAGUGGGGAAUUUUGGACAAUGGGGGCAACCCUGAUCCAGCCAUUCCGCGUGAGUGAAGAAGGCCUUCGGGUUGUAAAGCUCUUUUGUCCGGAACGAAACGGGUAGCGUGAAUAUCGCUGCCUACUGACGGUACCGGAAGAAUAAGCACCGGCUAACUACGUGCCAGCAGCCGCGGUAAUACGUAGGGUGCGAGCGUUAAUCGGAAUUACUGGGCGUAAAGCGUGCGCAGGCGGUUUUGUAAGCCAGAUGUGAAAUCCCCGGGCUUAACCUGGGAAUGGCAUUUGGGACUGCAAGGCUGGAGUGCGGCAGAGGAGACUGGAAUUCCUGGUGUAGCAGUGAAAUGCGUAGAUAUCAGGAGGAAUACCGAUGGCGAAGGCAGGUCUCUGGGCUGACACUGACGCUCAUGCACGAAAGCGUGGGGAGCAAACAGGAUUAGAUACCCUGGUAGUCCACGCCCUAAACGAUGUCGACUGGUUGUUGGGGGUUUGACACUCUCAGUAACGAAGCUAACGCGUGAAGUCGACCGCCUGGGGAGUACGGCCGCAAGGUUAAAACUCAAA